rnacentral:rRNA from 1 species
UUAGGAAUCUUGCGCAAUGGGCGAAAGCCUGACGCAGCGACGUCGCGUGACUGAUGAAGUCUUUCGGGAUGUAAAAGUCUUUUUUGGGGGAAGAAGGAUGUGACGGUACCCCAAGAAUAAGCCCCGGCUAACUACGUGCCAGCAGCCGCGGUAAUACGUAGGGGGCGAGCGUUGUCCGAAUUCACUGGGCGUAAAGCGCGCGUAGGCGGGUUAUUAAGUUAGGGGUGAAAUCCCGAGGCUCAACCUCGGAACUGCCUUUAAAACUGGUAGCCUUGAGGUAUGGAGAGGGAAGUGGAAUUCCUGGUGUAGCGGUGAUAUGCGUAGAUAUCAGGAGGAACACCCGUGGCGAAGGCGGCUUCCUGGCCAUAUCCUGACGCUGAGGUGCGAAAGCUAGGGGAGCGAACG